GACGAACGCUGGCGGCGUGCCUAAUACAUGCAAGUCGAACGCAUUUUCUUUCACCGUAGCUUGCUACACCGACAGAAAAUGAGUGGCGAACGGGUGAGUAACACGUGGGUAACCUGCCCAUCAGCGGGGGAUAACACUUGGAAACAGGUGCUAAUACCGCAUAAUUCCAUUUACCGCAUGGUAGAUGGAUGAAAGGCGCUUUUGCGUCACUGAUGGAUGGACCCGCGGUGCAUUAGCUAGUUGGUGGGGUAACGGCCUACCAAGGCUGCGAUGCAUAGCCGACCUGAGAGGGUGAUCGGCCAACCUGGGACUGAGACACGGCCCAGACUCCUACGGGAGGCAGCAGUAGGGAAUCUUCGGCAAUGGAAACAAGUCUGACCGAGCAACGCCGCGUGAGUGAAGAAGGUUUUCGGAUCGUAAAACUCUGUUGUUAGAGAAGAACAAGGAUGAGAGUGGAAAGUUCAUCCCUUGACGGUAUCUAACCAGAAAGCCACGGCUAACUACGUG
rnacentral:rRNA from 1 species